rnacentral:rRNA from 1 species
UGGGGAAUAUUGCACAAUGGGCGCAAGCCUGAUGCAGCCAUGCCGCGUGUGUGAAGAAGGCCUUCGGGUUGUAAAGCACUUUCAGCGAGGAGGAAGGGUAGUGUGUUAAUAGCACAUUGCAUUGACGUUACUCGCAGAAGAAGCACCGGCUAACUCCGUGCCAGCAGCCGCGGUAAUACGGAGGGUGCAAGCGUUAAUCGGAAUUACUGGGCGUAAAGCGCACGCAGGCGGUUUGUUAAGUCAGAUGUGAAAUCCCCGCGCUUAACGUGGGAACUGCAUUUGAAACUGGCAAGCUAGAGUCUUGUAGAGGGGGGUAGAAUUCCAGGUGUAGCGGUGAAAUGCGUAGAGAUCUGGAGGAAUACCGGUGGCGAAGGCGGCCCCCCUGGACAAAGACUGACGCUCAGGUGCGAAAGCGUGGG